rnacentral:rRNA from 1 species
GCCUACGGGGGGCAGCAGUGAGGAAUAUUGGUCAAUGGGCGAGAGCCUGAACCAGCCAAGUCGCGUGAGGGAAGACGAUCCUAUGGAUUGUAAACCUCUUUUGCCGGGGAGCAAAAAGCGGUACGUGUACCGCAUCGAGAGUACCCGGAGAAAAAGCAUUGGCUAACUCCGUGCCAGCAGCCGCGGUAAUACGGAGGAUGCGAGCGUUAUCCGGAUUUAUUGGGUUUAAAGGGUGCGCAGGCGGCGAGUUAAGUCAGCGGUAAAAUUUCGGGGCUCAACCCCGACAAGCCGUUGAAACUGGCUUG